rnacentral:rRNA from 1 species
AGUGAACGCUGGCGGUAGGCCUAACACAUGCAGGUCGAACGGUAACAGGUCUUCGGAUGCUGACGAGUGGCGAACGGGUGAGUAAUACAUCGGAACGUGCCUAGUAGUGGGGGAUAACUACUCGAAAGAGUGGCUAAUACCGCAUGAGAUCUACGGAUGAAAGCAGGGGAUCGCAAGACCUUGUGCUACUAGAGCGGCCGAUGGCAGAUUAGGUAGUUGGUGGGAUAAAAGCUUACCAAGCCGACGAUCUGUAGCUGGUCUGAGAGGACGAUCAGCCACACUGGGACUGAGACACGGCCCAGACUCCUACGGGAGGCAGCAGUGGGGAAUUUUGGACAAUGGGCGCAAGCCUGAUCCAGCAAUGCCGCGUGCAGGAUGAAGGCCUUCGGGUUGUAAACUGCUUUUGUACGGAACGAAAAGCCCUGGGUUAAUACCCUGGGGUCAUGACGGUACCGUAAGAAUAAGCACCGGCUAACUACGUGCCAGCCGCCGCCGUAA